UAAUGCUCGAGGCUAAAUAUUGAAUUCCACGAAUCUCCGCUGUUAUUAGAGAUACCCAGGCAUGUUGGGUCCCAAAGGUGCUAGUGGUAUCAUUGCACUGUUCACGCCCAGUAGUGCCAAGUGCCAACUCCUCCUCCAAGUCGGUGGGGCUGGUAAAUACUGACUUGUCAGUGGCUACGUAGAUGGCGACGUGGCUUAAGAACUCAUCCUGCCCGAGGAAGAGAACAUGCAUCAUGGCGUAAACAAUCACACGUCGCAGACCCGAUCGGGUGUCGUGGCGGGUUAAGCCUUUCGUUACUGGCGGCUUCUCCUGCGUGACAAGCGCUCUGCGCCAAAAAGAAAAAACUUUCCUCGAAACAGGGUAUUUAUAACUUCUUAACACACUCACUUUUAAUUGAAAUUUGGGUAGGCCUACUUUGGGGGGGGGGGGGACAAUCUCCCCUAACGCCACAUUUAGUUAGUUAGUUCAUAGGAUAGGCCUAACGAGAAGACGCGGGGAGUGUACCGGCAGUAAUUUCCAAGAGGUCUCGGGCACUGCUGCCAAACGUGUAGGUUGGCCACCGUGGAGUUUUUGUCAGUAGGAGUCUGGCACUACUCCACUAAUUCUCUAGAAUGCAGCGGAGUGUCCAUGAGGAUUUCUCCACGUAGAAGAAAAAAAGAAAGAAGGUGUUGAAGCAUAUAAAUAGAACACGCACAUAUUCGUACAACGAUGUUAAAAAUCUGAGCAUAAUGGAAAUGUGCGUACAGCAGAUACUCACAGGAAAAACCAACGAGACUAAUAAUAAAAUCAAUGAAUUAGAAAAAAAGAGCUAUAGACAAAUAUCUUAUAAUAUACCGUGGCAUAAUCUGCAAUUUAUUAUAAAAUAAUUGAUCCGAGCAGUAUCAAUUAUAAAAGAAGAUGGCUGAAUAUGAUAGACACUGUCGAAUACUAAUCAAAUAUAAUCAUUUAGUUAAUCUUUAAGAUUUAAGUUAAGAUACAUCUUUGAGGAAUCAAUAAGUCUUUCGCUAAUAGCCUAAUAGAUCUCUUGAUAGAUCAAACGAAGAAAUACCUAACCGCGAUUACAGCCAAUUGGUACAUAUUAUUCGAUACAUAAUUAAUAUUUGUAUCACGUACAGCGAUGCAAGUGGUAUUGAAGAAAAUAGCCAUUUUAUGUUACAACUAUAACGAGUAAAUUUACUCGUUUAACUUGAGAGGAAUUAAAAAGGUACCUGACUUUUAAAUAAGCAUUAAAUAAGAAAUUUAAAUAUCGCAGACGGUGAUGUAGGUGUUAUUCAAGAAAAGAGAACAUUUUAUUUUGUAAUUAGCACGAGUAAAUGAACGAAUAUCGAUAAUAUAAUAUAAUGAUUAAUAUGAA